rnacentral:ncRNA from 2 species
AUCUUAUCCUGAGAGGUGGAGGGAAAUGGCCCAAAGAAGCCUCGGCAACAGGUUCUAGCUUGAAUACUGUGCCAAAUCCAUCAAGUAUUCUAUGCUUGGUAGAUAAGAG